UGCGUAGGCGGCGCGGUAAGUCGGGUGUGAAAUCUUGGAGCUUAACUCCGAAACUGCAUUCGAUACUGCCGUGCUUGAGGACUGGAGAGGAGACUGGAAUUUACGGUGUAGCGGUGAAAUGCGUAGAUAUCGUAAGGAAGACCAGUGGCGAAGGCGGGUCUCUGGACAGUUCCUGACGCUGAGGCACGAAGGCCAGGGAGGCAAAACG
rnacentral:rRNA from 1 species